rnacentral:piRNA from 1 species
UGUAGAAUGAGGAAGCCAGUAGAGAC